rnacentral:rRNA from 1 species
GCCGAUGCGGGAAAGGCGCACCAUGCGAUCCUGCUAUACAGCAAAUUUUACGACUCUCGGCAACGGAUAUCUUGGCUCUCGCAUCGAUGAUGCGAUACUUGGUGUGAAUUGCAGAAUCCCGUGAACCAUCGAGUCUUUGAACGCAAGUUG